UCUCAGCCUCUGGUCCUAGAGCAAUGUAGGUAAGGGAAGUCGGCAAAGUGGAUCCGUAACUUCGGGAGAAGGAUUGGCUCUAGAGGGUCGCGACGGUCGGGCGCGGGGCAGAAGCGGGAGUAGUCCGGAAGGCUGGCCUCAUGGUUGAGCUGGAAGGGCGCCCGUGGAUCCCCGUGCUAGUCGGCCGUGGUCGGGAAGCUGGGAUGGGGUGGCGCCGGGUCGGGGUUCGCGCCUCGCACCUCGGCCGUCGUUCCGCCUGGCGGACUGGCCCGUUGUGUCGGACGUCGACCGUCAUGAGGCGACCGCAUCAGAACUGGCACAGACCAGGGGAAUCCGACUGUUUAAUCGAAACAUAGCCUUGCGAGGGCCUUUGAGGGUGGUGACGCAAGGUGAUUUCUGCCCAGUGCUCUGAAUGUCAAGGUGAAGAAAUUCGGGGAAGCGCGGGUAAACGGCGGGAGUAACUAUGACUCUCUUAAGGUAGCCAAAUGCCUCGUCGCCUAAUUAGCGACGCGCAUGAAUGGAUUAACGAGAUUCCCUCUGUCCCUAUCUACUGUCUAGCGAACCCACAGCCAAGGGCACGGGCUUGGGAAGAUUGGCGGGGAAAGAAGACCCUGUUGAGCUUGACUCUAGUCUGGCGUGUGGGGAGUCGCGGGGGGCGUAGCGUAGGUGGGAGGCGGCUUGCCGUCGCAAUUGAAACACCACCACCCCCGCUGUCUCCUCGCUAACCCUGUGGAGCGGGUUACGGCCGACCCCUGUCCUGGUGGGGUCGGCGGCAUAGAGGGGGUCAAGGCGGCGCCGUCAAACCCGGCGUCGUCGACCCGAGCAGGGGAAGCCUUCAGGCG
rnacentral:rRNA from 1 species